rnacentral:rRNA from 1 species
UUCCGGUUGAUCCUGCCGGAGGCUACUGCUAUUGGAGUUCGAUAAAGCCAUGCGAGUCUAAGGGACUUCGGUCCCUGGCAUAAUGUUCAGUAACAAGUGGAUAAUCUGCCCUCAGGUGAGGAAUAAACCCGGGAAACUGGGGCCAAUACCUCAUAGAUACAGGAAGCUGGAAUGCUCCUGUAUUCAAAGCUCCGGCGCCUGAGGAUGAGUCUGCUCCCUAUCAGGUUGUAGUCAGGGUCAUGACCUGACUAGCCAACGACGGGUACGGGGUGUGAGAGCACUUGCCCGGAGAUGGUUUCUGAGACACGAAACCAGGCCCUACGGGGCGCAGCAGGCGCGAAAACUUCGCAAUGCGGGAAACCGUGACGAGGGAACUCCAAGUGUCUAUGCAAUGCAUAGACUGUUUUUCAGCCUAAAUAGCUGUUAGAGUAAGGGGUGGGUAAGACCGGUGCCAGCCGCCGCGGUAACACCGGCACCCCAAGUGGUAGCCACUAUUAUUGGGCCUAAAGCGUUCGUAGCCGGUUUGGUAAAUUCUUGGGUAAAUCGUACCGCUUAACGGUGCGGAUUCCGGGGACACUACCAGACUUGAGACUGGGGGAGAUCAGAGGUACUUGCGGGGGAGCGGUGAAAUGUUGUUAUCCCGCAGGGACCACCAGUGGCGAAGGCGUCUGAUCACAACGGUUCUGACGGUGAGGAACGAAACCCUGGGGCGCAAACGGGAUUAGAUACCCCGGUAGUCCAGGGCGUAAACGCUGCUGACUUGGUGUUGGAGAUCCUACGAGGGUGUCCAGUGCUGGCGCGAA